rnacentral:rRNA from 1 species
CCCUUAGAUGUCCUGGGCCGCACGCGCGUUACACUGAUGCAUUCAACGAGCUUAUAACCUUGGCCGAGAGGCCUGGGCAAUCUUGUUAACGUGCAUCGUGAUAGGGAAAGAUUAUUGAAAUUAUUAAUCUUGAACGAGGAAUUCCUAGUAAACGCAGACCAUCAAUCUGCAUUGAUUACGUCCCUGCCCUUUGUACACACCGCCCGUCGCACCUACCGAUUGGAUGGUCCGGUGAAGCCUCGGGAUUGUGGUUCUUGCCGCUUUAUUGUGGCGUGACCGCGAGAACUUGUCUAAACCUUAUCAUCUAGAGGAAGGAGAAGUCGUAACA